AAGUCGUAACAAGGUUUCCGUAGGUGAACCUGCGGAAGGAUCAUUACAAAUCCGUCACAUUAUGACACGUUGCAAUGUUGGAGAGUCAGAGGGGGGGGGAGGAGAGAGAGAGAGUGAGAGAAUAUUUCUCUUUUUUUUUCUUCUUCUUCUUCUUCUUCUGAAACUCUUCACCCUUUUACUAUUAUGUUUGUUGAUCAGUUUUAUUUUUUAAUCACAUACUGUAACACAACUUAUAACAAUGGAUCUCUAGGCUCUU
rnacentral:misc_RNA from 1 species